GACAUAGGUGGCGAACGUUAUCCGGAUUUAUUGGGCGUAAAGCGUCCGCAGGUGGCUGUGUAAGUCUGCUGUCAAAGAGCGAAGCUCAACUUCGUAAAGGCAGUGGAAACUACACGGCUAGAGUGCGUUCGGGGCAGAGGGAAUUCCUGGUGUAGCGGUGAAAUGCGUAGAGAUCAGGAAGAACACCGGUGGCGAAGGCGCUCUGCUAGGCCGCAACUGACACUGAGGGACGAAAGCUAGGGGAGCGAAUGGG
rnacentral:rRNA from 1 species